AACGCUAGCGACAGGCCGUAACACAUGCAAGUCAGGGGCAGCACAAGGAGCAAUCUGAGGUGGCGACCGGCGCACGGGUGAGUAACACGUAUGCAACCUGCCUGUAAGCGGGGAAUAACCCGUUGAAAGACGGACUAAUACCGCAUAAUACUAAAUUACUGCAUGGUAAUUUAUUUAAACAUUUAUGGCUUACAGAUGGGCAUGCGCAUGAUUAGCUAGUUGGAGAGGUAACGGCUCCCCAAGGCAACGAUCAUUAGGGGUUCUGAGAGGAAGGUCCCCCACACUGGUACUGAGACACGGACCAGACUCCUACGGGAGGCAGCAGUGAGGAAUAUUGGUCAAUGGACGAGAGUCUGAACCAGCCAAGUCGCGUGCAGGAAGAAUGUCCUAUGGAUUGUAAACUGCUUUUGCAGGGGAAUAAAGUGCAUCACGUGUGAUGUUUUGUAUGUACUCUGCGAAUAAGGAUCGGCUAACUCCGUGCCAGCAGCAGC
rnacentral:rRNA from 1 species